UACGUAGGGUGCGAGCGUUAAUCGGAAUUACUGGGCGUAAAGCGUGUGCAGGCGGUCUGUUAAGACAGGUGUGAAAUCCCCGGGCUUAACCUGGGAAUGGCGCUUGUUACUGGCAGACUAGAGUGCGUCAGAGGGGGGUGGAAUUCCACGUGUAGCAGUGAAAUGCGUAGAGAUGUGGAGGAACACCGAUGGCGAAGGCAGCCCCCUGGGAUGACACUGACGCUCAUACACGAAAGCGUGUGGAGCAAACAGG
rnacentral:rRNA from 1 species